rnacentral:lncRNA from 1 species
GAGGCAGGCUGGGUCCGCCUGGCAGCCUACGGGAGGAGGCGGGAGCCGGGAAGGAGGGGAGCCUAGGCCCGGCGUGGGGAGGCCGGCAGGAAGGGCCUCGAGCCCAGUGCGGACCUUUCUUCAGCCUCUGUGCGACCGAGCCGCGCGCCAGGCUCCUGUGCGAGGAGGACGCGCUGACUCCCUCCGACCUGGGCUCCGAUGGAGCAGAAAUAGCGGGACCUGGACUUGUGGCGCGCCUGGUGCCACAUCUCGGGCUCUGCGAGCGUCCUGGCGCGGGAUCCUGCCUAAUGUCUUACAAUAACAGAAUGCAGGAGAGCACAUAUCAAUGAAGAAAAGACAAAAUGUACUUAUCCAUGAAGCUGAGGUUAAGAAACCAGUGUCUUCAAGAGCCAGGGACAGCACUGGGUCUGUGCAGAGUUGAGAGAUGGUGAUGACAUGUGGUUUCCAGCAUUCCUCACCCAGUCCAGGGACACUGUGGGUGUGCCCAGCUUAAGUCCAGUAACUGGAAAUACAAGCCCAAGUUCUGGAGAGUUUGAGCUGCAGAGAUAUAUAUGGGAACACUUUGAAUCUUGACUCAUUGGCCAUAACCAGCAGAGUGGAAAAUACAAGAAGAGAAAAAAACAUUGAACUGCGAUUUUAUAACAUCCUUUACUAGGCAGAGAGAAGAGGAAACACCAGGAAAGAAAACUGUAUUACGAUGUGAAAACUUAAUGUUGAGAAAUUCAGGCAUCUUGGGGUUAGUGAGGAGAAGUUUUAGGGGCUUAGAUUCUUCUAAACACAUGUACAGAAAUGCAUAUUUCAUCUGAUAUCAAAUGGCAUUUAUAGUGCUAAUCUUUACCUCAAGACUUCACAUCUUUUGGUGAUUGCAUCUUUUAGGUUUAUAGCAGCUAAGUUUGCAUGAAAACACCAGGGCUGUUUCAUUUCAGUCAAGAAUUAAUGUUCAUUGAUUGUGCUUCUGCAUUUCAUGUAACUAUUGUAGAAUUUGUUUUAGUUUUAUGAGGGAAUAAUUGUUCCAACUUCUAUAUAACUCAGGAAUUUACUCUCAAACAACACUGUCAAUUAGUUACUUAUCUCUCUGGAAAUGAUCUGGGAACAUGGAGAGGAAAGGGAGGAAGGGGCAAAAUCUGACCACUUAAAUCUAAGCAUAUUAGAUCAUUUUAUGCUAGAAAGUCCUGAAUGAUGUGACUUUCGUUCUUGUAAAACACCUCUUUCCAUAGAUUCAUGGCCCAAACAGUAUAUAAAGAGUGGGGAAGGAACUGCAUUUGCAAAUAGUUCAAAUCAUUGCUCCAUCUUAACUACGCAGUUCACAAAGUGUGAAGAAAUGUGAUCAUCUCAAAAAAGAUAAUGGGGAAAAAAUAUGUUUUGUUCUGUGACUUUAAAGUCUUGCAAUAUUUUACAUAAAUGAUAAUGGGUGCUUUAAUAAGAACUCUUGAUACUUUUGUUAUUGUAUUCAAUAUAUGCAUAUAAUACAACAGGAUGAUAUUGUUUUGGAUUUGGAAAUGUAUUCUUUCUUAUGCAAUCUUAUGCAGUCAUACUGCUUGAAUAUCAUUACCUGAAUUUAUCUUUCUUUUUUUUGUUGUUGUUUUACACUCUACUUAUUUGGUGCCUGUCAGUCUUUUGUCGUCAGUUUAUAUUCUACUAAACUCAAAAAGACAAUCUCAUACCUUUUGUAAUUGUAGGCAUUCUUUACUAGAUUUUUAAAUACACUUCAAAAAUUCAAGUACUUUGAUUUCAUGCCAUCAAGUAGCUGAAUCUAUCCCCCCGUCUCUUUUUAAAUUUAAGUGAGUAGUUCAAUUUCUGUCACUUUCUACUUUGUGAAUUCUAAAUCUUUUAAAACCAUCUUGCCAUUUUUCGUGCACUUACCCUUACAGAAAACUCUGUGAAACACUACUUAUCUCUACUUUUAUGUUUUUAACUCCUUUUUUAUAUUACUAUUCCCUCUGCUUUCUAAAUGCACAUAUUAAUUUGUUCUUUUUAUUCUCUGUAGCUCUUCUCAGUGUAUGAAUUCAGUUUCCCAUCAGUCUCCAUACAAUUAAAAAAAAGUUGAGUAUUCUGUUAUUUUAAUAAGAUAUCUAGUGCCCAUAUUCUAAUUCUGCCCCUUAUUUUUAAUAUAAUUUUAUUGUUGAUUUAAAAUGACAACAGUUUCAAUUCCCAGAAAGUGAAAGGAAACAAAGGAAUAAUAUUAUAGGCUUAAUUUUUAUCAGUGAACUUGUAGGUGAAGAAAAGAUUUGGGGAAGGAAAUGAACAUAUUAUAUUGCAAAAUAGUAAGGAACAAUCAGAUGUGUUUUCUAGUCUCUGGAAAAGCAUGUUUCAAGAAAUUCAAUGAAAAGUUCAUCAUGCUUGCUUAGAUUGUUGAGAAGCAAAAACACUGAUGAACAUUUGGAAGCAAUGAGAAUGUAAUUCUAAUCAUACUCUUUUAAUAAUGUUGCAAAACUCUCCAAACACUACUCUGUGUGGAUGUCUUUCAGAAUAUGAUGAAUACUAGUAGUCUUAUUCUGCCCUUUUCUCUCUAUCACAAUAUAUACAUUCUAUAUUGCAUACACAUAUUUUCCAAAUAUUACAUAUAAUUUCAUGUAAUUUAUAGACCUAUUAAGGCCCAACCAUUUUCUUGGAUAGGGGAUUCUUUAGAAGUCCAGCUUAAAUAAAGCCCGUAUAGAAAGUUUUUUUAAAAUUUAUACAUAAUCACCUAAAGUAACCUUAUCUACUGAACUCUUAGUACAUGCUACUGGAACCUUUUAUCAUGUUUCUUCCUGGCUUGCAUUACAACACUGUUGACAUAUCUCAGCCUUACUUCUAGGCUUCUUUGAGAGCAUGACUCAUGUUUGUAUUCCUCACUGAGGUUGAAUGAAUAAGAGAAACUACAGUAGUAGGAAAAAACAGUACAUGUACAUAUCAAUGAAUAUGAAAGGGUCAAAUGGAUCUAUUAUAGUAAGCACAAAAUCAACUGACACCAGCAAAGUAAACCCAAAAUUUUUAAUGGUAUUUUAAUAGAUCAAGAGGAGCAAGCAGAUUUUUGAGACAGUUGUCUCCUACUUUCUCUAUCACAGGGAGUAAUUUUAAAAGAAAAAUGGAGGGUAAGUUUCUUUAAGAGAAAAUUGUAGUUUAAAACAGGUCAUGGGAUAAUUAGAAAUAAUUUAAUUUCUUUAGAGGAUUUUAAUCUUUCAACUGCUUGCAAUUAGAUCCUAAGGCAAUAAAAGAAUAAGGAGAUUUGGAAAACCAUUGUCUGUAAUCUCUGAAGAAAAGUGGACAUUAGGGGAGUCAGUUGAAAAGCAAAGCUAUCACCAUUUUCUAAAGAGGAAAAAGGUGAACCUCACAAACUAUAGACCAAAAAAAUAGGACAUCGAGAGAAAGAAUAUGAAGCUAGCAUAGGUUCACAAAGAAUGAGUCAAAUCAAACAACAUGCAUUUUUUAUUUAUAAAGCAUGACUUGUUCAUUGUCAAUUCAUGUUAGCUUAAUCAUUAGGCAUUAAUGCCAUCACUGCAAUGCAUAUGUCAGCAAUAAAUAAUCAAAGACCAGGCUUCCAUCAUUCUGUUUAAUAUCUUCAAGUAAUGCUUAAGUUUGCAAAUGCUCUUUUAACACAUUCUCCAUAUGCAGCCUGCCCAGCACUGCACACAAUAGACCUGUUACUUCCCCCUCACGAGCACUCCUAAUAUUUCAUGUGCUCAUCCAAUUGACUUCUCCCACUGGUGCCUCAUAUUGAAUUUGUAGAAUCACACCUGCUCCUUUUUCAAAACUCUUCUGAGUUUUUUCUUAAAUAAUUCACUGACCCCAAAGUUGUCAGAUAUUUGAAGACUACUCGCACAAUUUUAAUAUUAUAAAUGUAUAAUGUAAAUGUAAUUAAGAUUUGUAUAAUGUACGAUGUACUUUGGUAAAUAAAAGUAUGCUGUGAAUAAAUACGUAUGAUACAAUUCAAAAUUUUACAUAAAUAUGUGAUAAAAUUUAGCUCAUAUUCUUUUUUUUUUUCUUUGAGACGGAGUCUCACUCUGUUGCACCCAGGCUAGAGUGCAGCAGCAUGAUCUCAGCUCACUGCAACCUCUACCUCCUGGGUUCAAACAAUUCUCCUGCCUCAGCCUCCUGAGUAGCUGGGAUUACAGGUGCCCGCCACCAUGCCCAGCUAAUUUUUUUCUAUUUUUGUUGUUGUUGUUGUUUUUAGUAGAGACGGGGUUUCACCAUGUUGGUCAGGCUGGUCUUGAACUCCUGACCUCAGAUAAUCCACCUGCCUCGGCCUCCCAAAGUUCUGGGAUUACAGACGUGAACCACGGUGCCCGGCCUAGUUCAUGUUCUUUAAGGACAAUUAUGAAUAUUUUUAUGCACUGUUAAUUUUCAUUAAGAUAUUGAUCAAUUAAUAGCUAUAUAUGUUCUAUAAAUUAAUCCUAUCUAGUUUCAAUCUUAAAUUGUUUGCAUAUACCAAUCUAGUUUAUUGUUUGCAUAUAUUUUAUAGUGUAGAGAUUAGGCAUUUUAAUAAAAUUUUAAAAUUUCCAGGACAUACUGUUAAUGACUAUGCUUCCUACUAUAGGCCAUAAUUAAUUUUUUUCUAUUGUCAACAAUAUUUUGGUAGGGAUGAUCAGGAAAUAAGGAAAUGUUUCCUUCAUUUGUUAACAAUAGGUGUUUGGGGAUUUUAAAAUGAAAAUUGAAGAAGUAAAAGACACCAUAUAUUUAGUUUGUUUGAUUUCGUGGCUUCAAGAGUUCAAUAAUUUAUUGAAAUAUUUUACAGACCAAAGAACAACAGAUAUAUUACGUUUAUAAGCCCCCACAUAUUUUAAAGGAUAAUGGUUUAUAUAUGAAAAUUCCCUGAACCUACACUUCAUCAGGAAAAGCUAAAUAAAAGAAGUUUACAUUUCCUAGGACUAAUGGAGAUUUAUUUCCCAGUCCUCUUCUCUGGAGACAAAUGUAGGUCUCUCUUGAAAAGCAGAAAGUUUUGCAUAUGAGGUAUGAUUUAGUGGGCUAGAAACAUCUUUUCCACCCUCCCCAAAAUGUUUCACUAUGUUUUAUCAUACUAUCUGAUAAUUUUGCACUAAAGUUUUCUUUCUGUGUUAAGAAAAUGCAAAUAUCUCUGAAUGGGUCUCUUUGCUUUAGUCAUACUCAUAUGGCUACUACUGAACAAAAUAUGUUCAUUACAGGAUGAAGGGAAUGUUGCCAGCCAGCAAAUCCCUAGAGUUUGCACUACACCAAACGUUGCUUAGCAAUUUCCACGAUUUUCUCAGUCUAAUUUGCAAGAAUCAAGGAGAUGUUUGUGUAUGCUACAUGAAGUUGUAAAAUUGGUAUUUAUUGUAUGUUUCUAUAUCGAAAGCUUUACAAACAAAGGAAAUGGAAAGUUAACAGGUGGAUAUGAUAGUGUGGCACUACUUUAGCUGGAUGGUAAGGGAGAGCUUCUCUUAGGAAGUGUUUUAGGCCAGGACUUGAAUAAUGAACAGUAUCUAGUUGUACAAAAAUCUGGAGGAAAGACUUUUCAGGCCCAGGAGAAAUGAAAAUUCUUUUCAUGCAUACAAGAAUGAAAGUGAAAAUUACCUACUCUAUGUCCUGAAGUGGGAAGUUGGCUUGCCAGAGAGUAGGUAAUUUUCACUUUGAUUCUUUCAUGCCUUCAGUUAUACUACUUCUUAGGUUAGUUCAUAAGGGUUUCCACAAUUUGGUUCCCACUUAAAAUUUAAAACUUCCCUAACCCAUUCCCACCAUAUAUUGUGCUAAUCCAUGCAUAUGUGACUUUGCGUAUGCUGUUUUCAUUGUUUAAUAUUCUUCUCAUGCAUUCGUUCUUUCCUGAUAACGAACUCAUCUUUGAAACUCCCCUUCAAGCAUCCUCUACUUUAGGAGGCCGCUUCUCACUGUCUCCUGCCUACCACCCAUUGAAUUGUUCAAUUUUUAAGCUGCCAUUGUCUUGUGCAGUUGACACAUUUCUUUGCAAUUACUGAUUUACAUGUCUGCUUUUAUCACUGGUGAGGUUCUUUAGGACAGAGACAUUAUUAAUUCAUCUCUGGGCACAUAUGUUCCAACAUAUUAGAAGUACUACAGAGUGCUAUUACUAUGUAGUAUGUAGUAUUAGUAGUAGUUACUCACAAAUCAUUUUUAAAUAAGUGAUUAUAAUAUCUUUUUGUUAUUAUGAUUUAACACAAGAUGGAAUUUAUUUUCAGAAGUUUCCAUGAUAUAUUUGUUCUAUUUAAAAUCCAAUAGCCAUUAGAAUAUUACCAUUAUUUAAUGUAAAACAAUAAAAUAUUAAAUAUGAUCGUUCAUAUUUAAUGCAAACCGAACUCAUGGAAAUAUUGUGUAAAGAUCAAGUAAUUUUUGACAUACAAUUUUAAACUCAACUUUUCAUAUAGCAUACCUUAUGAUAUAUUUUCAGCCUACUUUUAAAUAUGUUGGCAUUGAAAGCCAGUUACUAAUUCGCUGAAUUCAUGAUUUCUUUUUAAGUUAUAGAAGUGGAAUUAUGUUUGAGAUAUUCAUUGCAUUACAUUUACCAGAACUUGAGUUCUUAACAUGGAACCUGAGAGUUUCUCCAAUUCUUAAGUCCCUGGGAGAAAUAGAUUAGCUGGAUGAGGAACUGAGAGGAAAAAUGGUCAGAGAUGUAGCAAGAGUUGGGAAGAAGGAACAAUGAUUUGCUUUCAAGGAGAUUUUUUCAUUGGUCUGUUUUCAGUGACAAACCCACUGCGAUAAUACAUGUAAAGUGAAAACAUUCAGGAAGUUCCCUUAGAAACCUCUUUUCUGGCAGUUCCUAAUUCUACAACAUUGUAUAAGUGAAAUACCAUAGUUACUGUCAUAGUAAAUUGAGCCAAGAGAAACAAGGGAGCAGGAGAAGAAAAGAAUUAAAGAGAGUUUUGUCUUUCAGUCUUCACUCUGUUUCUUCUUGCUUUUACCAGUCAUUCAGGUUUAUAUAAUUUCUUUAGAGAGGCUUCUACUAUGCAGGUCUUCCUUAAAGUCAUUGGUAUUACCUGGCAUGAUAUGUGAGCCUUUAAUAUCAGUCCCUUUAUCUCUUUAUUUUUAAAGUUUAUAUCAGUACAGAGUCCUGGAUUCUUAAUUAAUUUAAUAGGUUAGACUUUAUGCUAAUAUUCUUCAUUUUGAUGCUCAAAUUUUCCAAAAUUUGGCCAGCAGGGUUCCUUAAAGCUGGGUACCUUGCCCUUUCAACAUGUCCCUCUGAUUCUUUAUUUUUAUUUACUUAUUUAUUUAUUUAUUUAUUUAUUUAUUUAUUUAUUUAUUUAGAGACUGAGUCUUGCUCUGUCUCCCAGCCUGGAGUGCAAUGGCACAAUCUUGGCUCACUGCAACCUCUAUCUCCCAGGUUCAAGCAAUUCUCCUCCCUCAGCCUCCCGAGCAACUGGGACUACAGGCAUGUGCAACCAUGCCUGGCUAAUUUUUUUUGUAUUUUUAGUAGAGACAGGCUUUCACCAUGUUGGUCAGGCUGGCCUCGAUCUCCUGACCUCAAAUGAUCCAUCGCCUCGGCCUCCCAAAGUGCUGGGAUUACAGGCGUGAGCUGCCACACCCAGCCGUCCCUCUCAUUCUUUAAGUACUUCCAUGUUUUCUAAGGUACAAGAUGUUCCAUAUUAUUUUGUUAUUUGUCUUCCCCAGCUCUGAAAUCUGCCUUUCCUUCAAGGAGCCUUGGUUCUUUCUAGUGACAAAUUAUAUUUAGAAAGAAGAUCUGGGUAUUUGACUUGUAUAUUGCUAUUAAUUGGCCAUUGUUUCUAGUCUCUUUCAGUAGACAGAGCUAAGAAAUGUAAAAGGAAAUAUUUGAAUGUAUGUAUAUGUGAUAUAUUAAGUACAUUUAAACAUAUUAAAUUCAUGAGUUCAUACUAAUACUUUCAAUAAGCCACAAUUCCCUUUUCAUGUUUUCGAAGGAAAAAUAUCCAUUGUCUAUAUACAGUGGACAUAGAUAGUAAUAAUACUGAUCUUGAAAAGAGCAGUCUUAAAUAGAUCCCAUUAAUAGUUAAAGAUAACAUAUCUUAGAAUUCUAGAUAUUAGAGAGAUUAUCUAGAGCUGUAAUCUAGAUAUUUUAUAGAUCUUUGCUGUGCUGUUUUGAAUUUGUGUUGGAGUAGAACAAUCAGAUGACAAAAGCUCAUCCCACAUGGAAAAAUCAAAGCAUUCAUUACAGAGAGAAUUUUGAAAUAAAUGCAUAUAUAAAAAAUAUAUAUGCAUAUAUAAUGCAUAUGUAUAUGCAUAUAAAAUAUAUAUAUAUAAAAUGAGGGUUAUAAACAAUGAAGGAAAUAGUGAUACUAUCUAUGUGGGAACAAUACUAGUAUCCUCCCUUUGGAUGAAUACAGUAGCUACAGAUGCAAUUCUGGGGACUCUGUUUAGCAAUAGCUUAACUAUUGCUUGGCUACAAGCAUGGAUAACUUGUUCAAAGAUAAUGAGGAGUUGUAAAUAUUUAAAUAAACAGGAUUUGCAACAUAAAAAGCUUUGUGACUAUGUGUCUGAAUUCUUAGAGUUUUCUCCCAGCAAGACCUUGGAUGUGGCAGACUUUUCUGUAAUUGUCCAUCUCGCCCCUAUUUCAUGAAAAGCCAGAGCUUCUCUACUUAGUUUGCUAACCCCAAAUAUAUAAAUUCAAUAGAAGUACUAGCCUGUUUUUACUGGUUUAUUUGCUUUAUCUAAAAAAAACAAGGCAUAGUUUAAAGUCUGUUUUUGAUAGCAUAACAAAACAAAGGUUCUCAUUUUAAUAAUGCAUCACAUAUACACUUGGUAACUAUUGCAUAGUAAUAAUUUAAUAACUUGAGAAAUAUAUUUAUGCAUGUAUGUGUAUAUGUUCAUAUAUAUGUUAUUUUUAAUUCAGAAGUAAAACAAAUAUUGGAAGAGGCCACAGUUAUUAUAAAAAUAAUUUGACCAGUAUUGGACAAUGCAAAUAGCAAUCAUUUAGAAGUUUCU